rnacentral:rRNA from 1 species
CCUACGGGAGGCAGCAGUGGGGAAUAUUGGGCAAUGGGCGCAAGCCUGACCCAGCAACGCCGCGUGAAGGAAGAAGGCUCUCGGGUUGUAAACUUCCUUUGUUAGGGACGAAGCAAGUGACGGUACCUGACGAAUAAGCCACGGCUAACUACGUGCCAGCAGCCGCGGUAAUACGUAGGUGGCAAGCGUUAUCCGGAUUUACUGGGUGUAAAGGGCGUGUAGGCGGGACUGCAAGUCAGAUGUGAAAACCACGGGCUCAACCUGUGGCCUGCAUUUGAAACUGUAGUUCUUGAGUACUGGAGAGGCAGACGGAAUGCGUAGUGUAGCGGUGAAAUGCGUAGAUAUUAGGAAGAACUCCAGUGGCGAAGGCAGUCUGCUGGACAGCAACUGACGCUGAGGCGCGAAAGCGUGGGGAGCAAACAGGAUUAGAUACCCUAGUAGUC